CAAGACCAUGCUGCAAAAGAGCAGAAUAGACAUGCUCAGCUGUACAACAAGAGAGUGAAGGGCUCCAAAAUUGACAUUGGUGACAGGGUGCUCUUGGCCAACAGGAAAGAGAGGGGUAAAAAGAAGCUCGCUGACCGCUGGGAAUCAACACUCUAUACUGUGGUGGACAUGAAUGCAGAGACACACACAUACAGGGUUCGCGACACAAUCACCGGCCAGGAGAAAGUGAUCCACAGGAACCUGCUGAUGCUGGCCAAUUUCCUUCCUGUGGGUGACUCAUCUGGACUGUCUGACCACGCCUCAUCCAUGUCUUUUGCAGUAUCCUCAGCCCACACACCUGAUGAUGUGAGACUUCUUCCGAGAGAGUGAGCAGGACUCUUCGCACAGCCAGUGACAGCCUUGUUUACGGAAGUGACAGACACUCAGCAGUGACUAUAGUAGAGGGACAGAGCCCCUUGACUGACGCAGAGCCUGCGGACUCUGAGAGACGAACCAUAGAAUGGAUCACACAGUUGUCUGUACCAAGUCAGUCAGAGGUGGAUGUUGCUGAUGUAACAAGCGUGAACUGUGACCCUCAAGAUUCCCCCGUCUUGCUUGAGGACGACACGACUUAUGACUCUAGCCCUGUGACUGCUGUGGACGUCCUGGCAAAUACAAGACAGCCGAAUCACAACACUGUGACACAGGCAGACAAUUUGUCAGACCCUCUGCACACUACUAUUCAGACCUUGCCUAUGCACUCUGGUGACUCCCGUACGCUCACACAGAUUAGGUCUAGAUUUGGUCGCUUAGUCAGACCAGUCAACAGACUCAUACAAACCAUGUCCAGGCAGGACGUUGUUCAAGAAAAGUUUGAUGUUAAGACUGCUUGCAAGUCCAUGUUCCAGGCUUUUGCUGACUAAAGCACUUCCAUAUGGCCUGUGUUUUGGUCUGAAGUUUCCUUGUAUUGGUAUUUGAUAUUCUGUUCAGCUGUAAACUUAUUUUACUAUUGUGGGCCUACACUGCACUGUGUUAGGGUCUUGUGGGGUGUACAAGGCACCCCUGUUGCCGGUUGCUGGAUUGAGGGAUUAGCGCUGCCCUCAUACCACUCCAUCCUUAUGGGAUACAUUUAGUGUUGGUUUUCUUGAUGCUGACCCUGUGUAAUUUGUCGCUUUGUAAUGUUUUCUUCAGUGAUUAUUGUGUAGUCGAUGCCCAAGUUCGAUAAAAUUCAGUGGGGGUGAGUGUAACGGAGUUAAAAAUGCACUUUAAUAAUUCUUAUUUCCAAAUGUGCAUCUGUGGAUUUUAUUUAUCAUUUAAUGAUUUUAUUGAAUAUUUGUGAAUUUUAUCUCAUUGAGUUAUUUUUAUUUAUAUUUAUUUUUGCUAUUUUUUUUCUCCUGUGGAAAUGUCCUUAGCUGCACACUACCCCUUUUGUACCUCCUAAGCUUCCGUAGUGCUUGUCUCCCUCAGUUGCGUCUUGCACCGCUGAGGGUAAGUUGUGUGGAAAAGUGCUGCUGGGUUUAUGUAUUGUUUUCUUUGGAAAUUGAACCAUUUGCGUUAAAACUUUAAGCACAAAUUGUGCCAUGUAAAUAUGGUUAUGUCACGUAGCAGUUUUGUAUUAGUGUGACCGUUAAAAUACGUUUUUAUCAGUGUUUUCAUUUUAACUUUCUGGCGCCAGUUUUACCACGGCAGGCGGGCCGUGUCAUGUUACCUAUGUAACUUGUCGGAGUUUUCAGCGUCUUGUCACUUGAGUAAACGCUGUAUUUUUGUAUGUUUAGGAAGCAGAGGUAAUGUAAGAGGAGGCCAGGGGCAAUUGAUGUGUGCAUUGUGUUCUGCAGAUGUGCGAGCCAAUAAAUCGUGGAAAAGAAGUGA